GCCUUCGUGGUAUAGCGGUCAGCACGCUCGACGCGUAUUCGAGAGGUCCGUGGUUCGAGUCCCGGCGAAGGCG
rnacentral:tRNA from 1 species